CCCUUAGAUGUCCGGGGCCGCACGCGCGCUACACUGAAGGAAUCAGCGUGGCUUUCUCCCGGACCCGAAAGGGUUGGGAAACCCGUUGAAUCUCCUUCGUGAUAGGGAUUGGGGCUUGAAAUUGUUCCCCAUGAACGAGGAAUUCCCAGUAAGCGCGAGUCAUAAGCUCGCGUUGAUUACGUCCCUGCCCUUUGUACACACCGCCCGUCGCUACUACCGAUUGAACGGUUUAGUGAGGGCCUCGGAUUGGUCUCGGCCCGCUCUUUACCGGGCGGCGCCGUUGGUCGAGAAGACGCUCGAACUUGAUCGUUUAGAGGAAGUAAAAGUCGUAACA
rnacentral:rRNA from 1 species